UCAGAGUUCGUUCCAUGGUUCGUUCAGUGUCUCAGUGUCUCAGUGUCUCACGUCUCAGCCUUAUUAGCCAUAUAUGCUCACGAUUCAUAGCCCCACAAGUAAACUGUUGGACAGUAUAUCUAGCCUGAAAUAGCAAGAGUUCUAAUCUCCAGUCUACAUUGGACUCAACAUGUUACAUGCUUCAUCGUUCAACAAAAUAUUGAUGCUGAAGGGAAAAUGCUAACAAGUGAGAAAAAAAAAACAUUUAUCCAAAAGUGAAGAAUAGUAGAAGAAGGCAGCCCAGUUUUCGACUGCAUGUUCCAGGUUCGUCAGAGAGGAGAUUGAUCAAUUUCACUCAACUGUCGACUCGAAUAUUGGAUGUUUUUAAAAAAGAAAAUCUUCUGCAGACACAAGACACCAGAUCUUCAAAUCAGAAAUUCAAAUUCAGAAAUUCAAAUCUCAAAAAAGAUCUUCAACAGAUCUAGAAACACAAAGGUGAUGGAAUUCAUCUUUGUGGCCAAUAGAGCUCUACCGCUCGCAGCAUCUAGCCCGAUGUCGUUAAAGAUUUCCAUCACGGCCCCAUGGAUAACUCGCUUUUUUGGAUCUACUCAUUGGCCUCACCUCUGUUUCUGGCCUAAUGUCUCGUUUUUCUGCACAAACGGUCUCAACUCGUUGAGCAAAUUCGCUUUGUACGUAAGUUCGAACCCUCUAUAUGCGUGUCCCGCUGAGAAGAAAUGGCGACCAAAGCCGGCAACACGGGCAAUGGAAGCUUGGGAUGGGACAGUUGUUAUUUCUGAACAUGUUUUCUACAAAAAAUGCAUUGACAGACAAGUCAAGCAAGACAAGAGGAAGCUAUGUGAACAUAAUCAAGGCCAUGGGUAAUCUUCAGGUUUAUUCACCAACUUUGGGGAAGUCACACGAAAAGAUGCAGGGCACAUACCAGAAUGUGUAUUUUUCUGAAUUUUUUACUCAAGCAGCUGGUGCUGUUGCCUUACAGCCACAGGCAGGAAAAAUAUGGUUUUCUUCAGGAAAUUGGAAAGCUGCUGGAGUAAUCUGGUGUUGAUGCUCAUUUGAUGCAUUUCGUGCCAGCUAGUGAAAGCCGAAAGGCAUGUCGAAUUCAAGUUGAGCUGCUGCGGGCUGUCUCUGGAAGCAAGCAAGAAGCAAUCCAGCCGUUGCGUUCAGUCAUUUGAACAGAAAUCUAAUGGCUGUCAAUAGGUGGCUGUCAAAAGUUGGCCGGAAUGUCCACCAGGUAGCGCGAGUGUCUUCAGGGACGCAUCUCGGCCAUUUUGUUCCAAGACGCUGCAGAAAGGGGCUGCUGGUCGUGACGUUUCUCACGAUGAAAAUUAAAAGGUGAUUUAGCAUGUGGAACACUUUGCUAAGUCAUUCAACUCAGACUUGGAAGUGCCUGUACAUUGCCGAAAUGGCGUGCCUCGUGUGUCUCGCUGUCUGUUCUUAGGCGUACUUCUCAUCCCAUGCAACAGUAAAAAGUAUUACAAACGCUUCUUUAAAGCUGUUGGGGUUAUCUUGUUGCAGCCAAAUGGUGAAAGGUGUGACGAAGACAGAUUGAACCGUUGUAUGCAGCAUGAGGUUGCAGUGUGAUCCAGAAGUAGCUGUGUUGGACCUGAAAUUGCUAUGCUGUUGUAGCCGAGCUGUUCCAUCUGGGUUCCUGACUUCAAAUUUUUAAGUUGUUGUUUGUGUUUUAAUCCAUGCCAUAUGAAAUUGCUCCGCCAGUGAUAUUUGUGUUCUGACUUGAAAGUGUUUGAUCUGUCGUCUUUUGAGUUUUCAUUCAAUCAUGCAGUAUACGACUGAGGCAACCUGAUCAAUAUCA